GCCUUUGUGGUGUAGUGGUCAGCACGCUGGGCGCGUAUUCCAGAGGUCCGUGGUUCAAGUCCCAGCAAAGGCG
rnacentral:tRNA from 1 species